AUUGAACGCUGGCGGCAGGCCUAACACAUGCAAGUCGAACGAGUGGCGGACGGGUGAGUACUGUCUGGGACACUGCCUGAUGGAGGGGGAUAACUACUGGCACAGGUCGCUAAUACCGCAUACCAUCGGAUGUGCCCAGAUGGGAUUAGCUAGUAGGUGGGGUAAAGGCUAACCUAGGCGACGAUCCCUAGCUGGUCUGAGAGGAUGACCAGCCAAACGGGAAAUGAGACAAGGUCCAGACCCAUACGGGAGGGAGCAGUGGGGAAUAUUGCAAAAUGGGCGCAAGCCUGAUGCAGCCAUGCCGGGUGUAUGAAGAAGGCCUUCGGGUUGUAAAGUACUUUCAGCGGGGAGGCGUGACCCGCAGAAGAAGCACCGGCUAACUCCGUGCCAGCAGCCGCGGUAAUA
rnacentral:rRNA from 1 species